rnacentral:rRNA from 1 species
AUGCUUAUUGGAGAAGCAAAAGAGAACCACGUUCAAAAUGUAGCAGAGAGUGCCAAGGAAGACAUCCCAACAGAGCUCAUUCAGUCCAAAAUAAUUUUCACGGAAUCAAAGCAAACAACAUUUUCUGGUUUUCAAAACACAUCAAUUCAGGAAUUGGACCUGCAGAGGAAAAAAUUUAGGGGGCGCCCGGAUAACCUGAGCAUAGACAUUAAUGUAAAAGCGCAACCAGAGAGUGGGACACAUACAGAUGAGGUUUUUGCAAGAGGAUAUAAAAUCAUUAGCGACUUUCUAGACAAGGCAAGAGCAAAAUAUUUCUUCGCCGAUGAUAGCACUCCCUCAUUCAGGAUCUCUGAAGAUGUGGAUGAAUGUGGAAAUAUAAUCGAAGAACAUGAAUUGUGGAGGCUUGUAUGGAUGAAGGAUGAGUGUUACAAAAAAAGAUAG